UCAAGUGAAGAAGCGCAUACGGUGGAUGCCUUGGCAGUCAGAGGCGAUGAAAGACGUGGUAGCCUGCGAUAAGCUUUGGGGAGUCGGCAAACAGACUGUGAUCCAGAGAUCUCUGAAUGGGGGAACCCACUCAGCAUAAGCUGAGUAUCUUGUACUGAAUACAUAGGUGCAAGAGGCGAACCAGGGGAACUGAAACAUCUAAGUACCCUGAGGAAAAGAAAUCAACCGAGAUUCCCUUAGUAGUGGCGAGCGAACGGGGACCAGCCCUUAAGUUGGUUUGAGAUUAGUGGAACGCUCUGGAAAGUGCGGCCAUAGUGGGUGAUAGCCCCGUACACGAAAAUCUCUUAUCAAUGAAAUCGAGUAGGACGGAGCACGAGAAACUUUGUCUGAACAUGGGGGGACCAUCCUCCAAGGCUAAAUACUACUGACUGACCGAUAGUGAACCAGUACCGUGAGGGAAAGGCGAAAAGAACCCCGGAGAGGGGAGUGAAAUAGAACCUGAAACCGUAUGCGUACAAGCAGUGGGAGCCUACUUUGUUAGGUGACUGCGUACCUUUUGUAUAAUGGGUCAGCGACUUAUAUUCAGUGGCGAGCUUAACCGAAUAGGGGAGGCGUAGCGAAAGCGAGUCUUAAUAGGGCGUUUAGUCGCUGGGUAUAGACCCGAAACCGGGCGAUCUAUCCAUGGGCAGGUUGAAGGUUAGGUAACACUGACUGGAGGACCGAACCGACUACCGUUGAAAAGUUAGCGGAUGACCUGUGGAUCGGAGUGAAAGGCUAAUCAAGCUCGGAGAUAGCUGGUUCUCCUCGAAAGCUAUUUAGGUAGCGCCUCAUGUAUCACUGUAGGGGGUAGAGCACUGUUUCGGCUAGGGGGUCAUCCCGACUUACCAAACCGAUGCAAACUCCGAAUACCUACAAGUGCCGAGCAUGGGAGACACACGGCGGGUGCUAACGUCCGUCGUGAAAAGGGAAACAACCCAGACCGUCAGCUAAGGUCCCAAAGUCAUGGUUAAGUGGGAAACGAUGUGGGAAGGCUUAGACAGCUAGGAGGUUGGCUUAGAAGCAGCCACCCUUUAAAGAAAGCGUAAUAGCUCACUAGUCGAGUCGGCCUGCGCGGAAGAUGUAACGGGGCUCAAACCAUGCACCGAAGCUACGGGUAUCACCUUUAGGUGAUGCGGUAGAGGAGCGUUCUGUAAGCCUGUGAAGGUGAGUUGAGAAGCUUGCUGGAGGUAUCAGAAGUGCGAAUGCUGACAUGAGUAACGACAAUGCGAGUGAAAAACUCGCACGCCGAAAGACCAAGGUUUCCUGCGCAACGUUAAUCGACGCAGGGUUAGUCGGUCCCUAAGGCGAGGCUGAAAAGCGUAGUCGAUGGAAAACAGGUUAAUAUUCCUGUACUUCCAGUUAUUGCGAUGGAGGGACGGAGAAGGCUAGGCCAGCUUGGCGUUGGUUGUCCAAGUUUAAGGUGGUAGGCUGAGAUCUUAGGCAAAUCCGGGAUCUCAAGGCCGAGAGCUGAUGACGAGUGCUCUUUAGAGCGCGAAGUGGUUGAUGCCAUGCUUCCAAGAAAAGCUCCUAAGCUUCAGAUAACUGGGAACCGUACCCCAAACCGACACAGGUGGUUAGGUAGAGAAUACCAAGGCGCUUGAGAGAACUCGGGUGAAGGAACUAGGCAAAAUGGCACCGUAACUUCGGGAGAAGGUGCGCCGGCGAGGGUGAAGGACUUGCUCCGUAAGCCCAUGCCGGUCGAAGAUACCAGGCCGCUGCGACUGUUUAUUAAAAACACAGCACUCUGCAAACACGAAAGUGGACGUAUAGGGUGUGACGCCUGCCCGGUGCCGGAAGGUUAAUUGAUGGGGUUAGCGCAAGCGAAGCUCUUGAUCGAAGCCCCGGUAAACGGCGGCCGUAACUAUAACGGUCCUAAGGUAGCGAAAUUCCUUGUCGGGUAAGUUCCGACCUGCACGAAUGGCGUAACGAUGGCGGCGCUGUCUCCACCCGAGACUCAGUGAAAUUGAAAUCGCUGUGAAGAUGCAGUGUAUCCGCGGCUAGACGGAAAGACCCCGUGAACCUUUACUAUAGCUUUGCACUGGACUUUGAAUUUGCUUGUGUAGGAUAGGUGGGAGGCUUUGAAGUGGGGACGCCAGUUCUCAUGGAGCCAUCCUUGAAAUACCACCCUGGCAACUUUGAGGUUCUAACUCAGGUCCGUUAUCCGGAUCGAGGACAGUGUAUGGUGGGUAGUUUGACUGGGGCGGUCUCCUCCCAAAGAGUAACGGAGGAGUACGAAGGUGCGCUCAGACCGGUCGGAAAUCGGUCGUAGAGUAUAAAGGCAAAAGCGCGCUUGACUGCGAGACAAACACGUCGAGCAGGUACGAAAGUAGGUCUUAGUGAUCCGGUGGUUCUGUAUGGAAGGGCCAUCGCUCAACGGAUAAAAGGUACUCCGGGGAUAACAGGCUGAUACCGCCCAAGAGUUCAUAUCGACGGCGGUGUUUGGCACCUCGAUGUCGGCUCAUCACAUCCUGGGGCUGAAGCCGGUCCCAAGGGUAUGGCUGUUCGCCAUUUAAAGUGGUACGCGAGCUGGGUUUAGAACGUCGUGAGACAGUUCGGUCCCUAUCUGCCGUGGACGUUUGAGAUUUGAGAGGGGCUGCUCCUAGUACGAGAGGACCGGAGUGGACGAACCUCUGGUGUUCCGGUUGUCACGCCAGUGGCAUUGCCGGGUAGCUAUGUUCGGAAGAGAUAACCGCUGAAAGCAUCUAAGCGGGAAACUUGCCUCAAGAUGAGAUCUCACUGGAACCUUGAGUUCCCUAAAGGGCCGUCGAAGACUACGACGUUGAUAGGUUGGGUGUGUAAGCGCUGUGAGGCGUUGAGCUAACCAAUACUAAUUGCCCGUGAGGCUUGACCAU
rnacentral:rRNA from 1 species